UGUUUUGCCAGAAACUGGGAGAGCAGGAAAUUCCAGCCAACUCCAAAGUUGAGUUGUUCCAGUGACAUACACUCAGGGGUCAGUAUCACAUAAUCCACAAUUAGGUUUGUAAAUUCUCUAUUCUGCUUUCAAAUUGACUGAUUAUAGAGUCAAAAACCAACUAUGUUAGACAAAAUAGGCUGUCACAACAAAAUCACUUUAAAACAAACAAAGGAUGGAGUAGAUUACAGAAAACAGCAUGAUGGGCCAGAUAACACCCAGACCAUAUCCUCACUUAGAAUACGUGGACAACUACAAAUACUUAGGUGUCUGGUUAGACUGUAAACUCUCCUUCCAGACCCAUAUCAAACAUCUCCAAUCCAAAGUUAAAUCUAGAAUUGGCUUCCUAUUUCACAACAAAGCAUCCUUCACUUAUGCCGCCAAACAUACCCUUGUAAACCUGACCAUCCUACCAAUCCUCGACUUUGGCGAUGUCAUUUACAAAAUAGCCUCCAAUACCCUACUCAACAAAUUGGAUGCAGUCUAUCACAGUGCAAUUUUUGUCACCAAAGCCCCAUAUACUACCCACCAUUGCGACCUGUACGCUCUCGUUGGCUGGCCCUCGCUUCAUACUCGUCGACAAACCCACUGGCUCCAUGUCAUCCACAAGACCCUGCUAGGUAAAGUCCCCCCUUAUCUCAGCUCGCUGGUCACCAUAGCAUCUCCCACCUGUAGCACACGCUCCAGCAGGUAUAUCUCUCUAGUCACCCCCAAAACCAAUUCUUUCUUUGGCCGCCUCUCCUUCCAGUUCUCUGCUGCCAAUGACUGGAACGAACUACAAAAAUCUCUGAAACUGGAAACACUUAUCUCCCUCACUAGCUUUAAGCACCAACUGUCAGAGCAGCUCACAGAUUACUGCACCUGUACAUAGCCCACCUAUAAUUUAGCCCAAACAACUACAUCUUUCCCAACUGUAUUUAAUUUAUUUAUUUAUUUUGCUCCUUUGCACCCCAUUAUUUUUAUUUCUACUUUGCACAUUCUUCCAUUGCAAAACUACCAUUCCAGUGUUUUACUUGCUAUAUUGUAUUUACUUUGCCACCAUGGCCUUUUUUGCCUUUACCUCCCUUCUCACCUCAUUUGCUCACAUUGUAUAUAGACUUGUUUAUACUGUAUUAUUGACUGUAUGUUUGUUUUACUCCAUGUGUAACUCUGUCGAACUGCUUUGCUUUAUCUUGGCCAGGUCGCAAUUGUAAAUGAGAACUUGUUCUCAACUUGCCUACCUGGUUAAAUAAAGGUGAAAAAAAAAAAGUCAAAGGUCACUCAUUUACAUACACUGCAGAGGCAUGAACUCUGAACUAUCGUAACCUUUUUGUCUUGAAGGCACUCAUUUAUCAGUUAAAUUAGUCUAAGUGAUAAUAAUUUUGUUGCCAUAACUUGGUCUGUUAUGAAAACUGUUUUAAUUUUGGCACAGGGGCAGUUGAGGGAGAAACGGCAGCACGUCGGGCUGAGAAUCUGUGUGUGAGAGAAGGAGAUGCAGGACAUAAGACAGGCGGUGAUGUCCCUUUCAGUGACUAUUUAUUAACCAUUUAGAGUAUGUACAUUUAUUUUGCAGAAAGUUACAUACUAUUCCUGAACUAAAACCAGGGAGGAGCCAAAUACCACUGGGACACACUAUAGGGAACAGACAGAUUGUCUGGGGUCUAGGCAUAGAGAAUGAUAGAGGCCUCUAGUGGCCAGAAGGCCGAAUUAGUGUGGGCAGCGCCGUUAAGGGCUUCCACUAUUUUAAUGUAGUUAACUGGGUGGGACUUCUAACUUCAUUGGCUGAUCCCUCCUGGUGACUUUGUUGGAGUCAUGUCCAACUGUGUCAUCAGGAGGGAUUAGCCAAUUGUGAGGAAGAAAAAGUACUACUUCAAAAUGGAGACUGACUCAAUUGCACUGCCCAUGCUGUCACAGACACUACAAUGACACACAUACAAAGAGGAGUGCUCUAUCUAUCUCUAUGGGUCUAGGUGCGAGCAGAGUGAAUGUGCUGGUUAAAAUGCCCCCCCCCCCGUCCUUCUCUCGUAACAGCUUUCUGCACAGGCAGCAGUGGAGUACUGUGAGCUGGUCUUUGCUGAGCUGAUCCGCUCCAUUGAGGGAAGGCGCUGUGAGGUGGAGCUAAUCAGUGCCCACCAGAGGGCGGCAGUAAGCCAGGCUGAAGGACUCCUGGAGGAACUGGAGCAGGAGAUAGCUGAGCUGAAGAGGAGAGAUGAGGAUCUGGAGCAGCUCGCACAAACAGAGGAUAACAUUAAUUUCUUCAAGACUUUCCAGUCUCUUUGUGUGGCUCCUGGAUCUGAGCUCUUACCCUAUAUCACUGCCAACCAGCACUUCUCCUUUGAGGAAGUGAAGAGCUCCAUCUCUGGAAUGAUGGAGCGACUGGAGGAUGUAUUGAAGGAGGAAAUGGUCCAGAUACCUGGAAAAGUAACGGCUGCCUCCGAAGUCUGUUAAUGGCUGCUGCUGAAGUACAUUUCCAUCAUGAGCCCAAGACCAGAGUGGAGUUCUUGGAGAACUACUGCCAUCUCACGUUGGAUCCCAACUCGGCAUAUCAACACCUGCGUCUGUCUGAGUGCAAUAGAGAAGAGUCAUGGAGUGACAAGGCUCUGUCUUAUUCUGACCACCCAGACAGAUUCACAGACCACUACCAGGUGUUGUGUAAAGAGGAUCUGUCUGGAACCCGCUACUGUGAGGUGGAUAGGAGGGGGGAGUGUGAGGUAGUGAUCACAUACAGAAGCAUCAGCAGGAAGGGCGGAUUGGAAUGUUGCUUUGGUUCCAAUGAUCAGUCCUGGAGUUUGGUGUGUCGCAACUCGAGUUGUUCCUAUUGGCACAAUAAGAAUAGGACUGAUAUCCCUGUCCCCUGCUCCACCAGAGUAGGAGUGUAUCUGGACAGCAGGGCAGGGACUCUGGCCUUCUACAGCGUCUCGGAUACAAUGACCCUCCUCCACAGAGUCCAGACCACAUUCACUGAGGACCUCUGUGCUGGGUUUUGGGUUGGUCCUGGUUGUGGAUCAUCUGUGGCUCUGUGUUGACUGAACGUCAUAGAAUCAAGUGUAUUUCAAAUCAAAUUGUAUUUGUCAAAUGCGCCGAAUACAACAGGUGUAGGCUUUACUGUGCUUACUUACGAGCCCUUUCCCAACAAUACGGAGUUAAAAAGUAGGAAAAAAUAGGGGAAAAAUGAAGGAAACAGUGACACAAUAAAAUAACGAGGCUAUAUACAAGUUGUACCUGUACUGCCUCAAUGUGCAGGGGUAUGAGGUAAUAUGUAUAUGUAGGUAGGGGUAAAAGUGACUAGGCAAUCAGGAUAGAUAAACAGAGUAGCAGCAGUGUAUGCAAAGAGUGUGAAACUCUUGUCUGUGUGUGAGUGUGUGGCAUCAAUGUGUGUGUGUGUGUGUGUGUGUGUGUGUGUGUGUGUUGGCGUGUCAGUGUGUGGGUAGAGUCCACUGAGUGUAUAGAGCCAGUGGUCAAUGAAAAUAUGAAAGAAAUUUAAGACAGAUCACUUGGGAAAACUGGAGAAAGUUGAUUUGCUUAAAAUCGUGACAUGGAUGAAGGGAGUUGACACUUCAUUUAGGAGUCCUGCUGCGAAGCCGCUCUUUAUCUACAAUGUUUGAGUCCAGCUUUACUAUUGGGGAGGGCUGGGACCUAUGUUUUAAAGAUUACAUUAAUAAAUAAAAUACAUAUUUUGUU